UGGGGAAUAUUGGACAAUGGGCGAAAGCCUGAUCCAGCCAUGCCGCGUGUGUGAAGAAGGUCUUCGGAUUGUAAAGCACUUUAAGUUGGGAGGAAGGGCAGUUACCUAAUACGUAUCUGUUUUGACGUUACCGACAGAAUAAGCACCGGCUAACUCUGUGCCAGCAGCCGCGGUAAUACAGAGGGUGCAAGCGUUAAUCGGAAUUACUGGGCGUAAAGCGCGCGUAGGUGGUUAGUUAAGUUGGAUGUGAAAUCCCCGGGCUCAACCUGGGAACUGCAUUCAAAACUGACUGACUAGAGUAUGGUAGAGGGUGGUGGAAUUUCCUGUGUAGCGGUGAAAUGCGUAGAUAUAGGAAGGAACACCAGUGGCGAAGGCGACCACCUGGACUGAUACUGACACUGAGGUGCGAAAGCGUGGGGAGCAAACAGGAUUAGAUACCCAGGUAGUCCCUGAGCGGGCUGGCAAGGCGCAU
rnacentral:rRNA from 1 species